GACGAACGCUGGCGGCGUGCCUAAUACAUGCAAGUUGAGCGCUGAAGGUUGGUACUUGUCCCAACUGGAUGAGCAGCGAACGGGUGAGUAACGCGUGGGGAAUCUGCCUUUGAGCGGGGGACAACAUUUGGAAACGAAUGCUAAUACCGCAUAAAAACUUUAAACACAAGUUUUAAGUUUGAAAGAUGCAAUUGCAUCACUCAAAGAUGAUCCCGCGUUGUAUUAGCUAGUUGGUGAGGUAAAGGCUCACCAAGGCGAUGAUACAUAGCCGACCUGAGAGGGUGAUCGGCCACAUUGGGACUGAGACACGGCCCAAACUCCUACGGGAGGCAGCAGUAGGGAAUCUUCGGCAAUGGACGAAAGUCUGACCGAGCAACACCGCGUGAGUGAAGAAGGUUUUCGGAUCGUAAAACUCUGUUGGUAGAGAAGAACGUUGGUGAGAGUGGAAAGCUCAUCAAGUGACGGUAACUACCCAGAAAGGGACGGCUAACUACGUG
rnacentral:rRNA from 1 species